rnacentral:tRNA from 1 species
GGCUGUUAGCUCAGUUGGUUACAGCGUGAUGCUGAUAACGCCAAGGUCGCUGGUUUGAUCCCCAUAUGGGCCA